GUCUGCUUAAUUGCGUAUCAUAAAAAGAGACCUAGUAUACGCGUAAGAUAUCGUUUACGGUUCGUGACCCCCUUCGGGCGUGUGUCGCACGUACGUAUCAUACGCACUGGUCUCCGAUAGCAACGAACGUGACCGUACUCUAUUGUUGCAGCGAAUGUAUGCAUCUUCGGGUGUAUCUACCGCUGCUUAGCAUAUUUCAUGCCUCGUGCGUGUGUAUGCAUUAAACUAUAGAGACCGCUGUAUUUUUUUUAAACCAGAGGAAGGAUACGGCAAUAACAGGUCUGUGAUGCCCUCAGAUGUUCCGGGCUGCACACGUGCUACAAUGAUCAUUGCACUGUGCAUCUAACCCAAUGUGCGUGGACGCCACGGUAUGUAUUUAUGCUUCGGCGUAGUAUAUAUCAGUUGGUCGGCCGCGCCGAACCUACUUCGAAAGUAAAAUUUCUCAGUGGGUAAUCCAUUAGAAGUAAUGACUCGCAUAGACCAUGGUACACACUUAUAUAUGUACGCGCAGGUUCUACCCGGCCGGCCUUUGUGUCGGUGCAGUGCGUAGCUUGUUGUUUCGUACGUACCACUCCGUAUUAAUUCAUACGUGGGGAUAGAUCAUUGUUUAAUUGUUGGUCUCGGUCUUAACUAGGAAUGCCUUGUACGGGUCUCCGGUUCAACAUACCACCCGGAAUACGUCCCUGCCCUUUGUACACACCGCCCGUCGCUCUUACCGAUGGAUUAUACUAUGAAUCUAUAGGACUGCCCAAGUUGUGCACUCGUGCACGCUUAGUGGAAAUAUAUAUGAAUAGUG
rnacentral:rRNA from 1 species